UUAUUUAUAGUGCUGGUUACCCAUCUCGUUUGACAGUCAGAUGGUAUUGUCCAGCCUGUAUAUAAGAUGUGACCGAAAAAAUGUGGCCAUUAGUCAGCGGAUAUUUGUAGUGACGCCAACUCGUUAGACAAUAUUCCCUACAUCACCAACAUGUACAAACUGGUAAUUCUCUUCGCCCUGGUGGCUGCGAGCGCGGCCGCCCCCGCCCCCUCCCCCGGCGCUGUCUUGGCCUACUCUGCACCAGCGCUGGUGUCUCCCGCAGUAGUGUCUUCAGUGGUCUCCCCCGCGGUCACGAGCUACUCCAGCUACUCAAACAGUGUCGUCCAUGGCUCGCCACUAGUCUCGCUGCGACAAGUCCCCGUACCAGUGGUUCACUCCCCCGUCGUUCACGCUGUACCUUUAAGCUACUCUAGGGUAGUCCAACCCCUAUUACUAUAAAAUAACAACUUCGGACCUCAGGAUACAGUUGAAUUUAUGGAAUCCAAUGAAUCGAAAAUCCGUUGAAAUUUGGUAGUAAUAGUCGCUAACUGAAACUUAGAGUGAGUUGCACCAGUCAACUUUGACGUUGAGUUUAAACUCACGCUGACGUUUGGCCUACUUUACGUUAAAGUUUAACCGGUGCAAUUCAUUGAUUUUAAUAGUGAUGUUUGAAUUUAAAUUUUAAUAAUUAUUUCAAAUCAUGUUAAUCAGUACAAGUAGGUAGUCGUUUAAGUUUGUUAGUAAGAAGUUAGUUAAAUUUAAAAUAGCUUUGAAUAAAAAAUAUAUAAAAGAAAAUUAACUGUUCACGAUA